rnacentral:rRNA from 1 species
UCAGUUAUCGUUUAUUUGAUAGUACCUUUACCUGGAUAACCGUGGUAAUUCUAGAGCUAAUACAUGCUAAAAACCUCGACUUCGGAAGGGGUGUAUUUAUUAGAUAAAAAACCAAUGCCCUUCGGGGCUCCUUGGUGAAUCAUAAUAACUUAACGAAUCGCAUGGCCUUGCGCCGGCGAUGGUUCAUUCAAAUUUCUGCCCUAUCAACUUUCGAUGGUAAGAUAGAGGCUUACCAUGGUCUUAACGGGUAACGGGGAAUUAGGGUUCUAUUCCGGAGAGGGAGCCUGAGAAACGGCUACCACAUCCAAGGAAGGCAGCAGGCGCGCAAAUUACCCAAUCCCGACACGGGGAGGUAGUGACAAUAAAUACUGAUACGGGGCUCUUUUGGGUCUCGUAAUUGGAAUGAGUACAAUCUAAAUCCCUUAACGAGGAACAAUUGGAGGGCAAGUCUGGUGCCAGCAGCCGCGGUAAUUCCAGCUCCAAUAGCGUAUAUUAAAGUUGUUGCCGUUAAAAAGCUCGUAGUUGAACCUUGGGCCUGGCUGACCUGUCCUCCUAAUCGAGCGCACGGGUUCGGUCGGGCCUUUCCUUCUAGGGAACCCCAUGCCCUUCACUGGGUGUGGUGGGGAACUAGGACUUUUACCUUGAAAAAAUUAGAGUGUUCAAAGCAGGCCUUUGCUCGAAUACAUUAGCAUGGAAUAAUAGAAUAGGACAUCGGUUCUAUUUUGUUGGUUUCUAGGACCGCCGUAAU